AUGGAACGCUGGCGGCAGGCUUAACACAUGCAAGUCGAGCGGAGUGAUGGUGCUUGCACUAUCACUUAGCGGCGGACGGGUGAGUAAUGCUUAGGAAUCUGCCAUUUAGUGGGGGACAACAUUCCGAAAGGAAUGCUAAUACCGCAUACGUCCUACGGGAGAAAGCAGGGGAUCUUCGGACCUUGCGCUAAAUGAUGAGCCUAGGUCGGUUUAGCUGGUUGGUGGGUUAAAGGCCUACCAAGGCGACGAUCUGUAGCGGGUCUGAGAGGAUGGUCCGCCACACUGGGACUGAGACACGGCCCAGACUCCUACGGGAGGCAGCAGUGGGGAAUAUUGGACAAUGGGCGGAAGCCUGAUCCAGCCAUGCCGCGUGUGUGAAGAAGGCCUUUUGGUUGUAAAGCACUUUAAGCGAGGAGGAGGCUACUAGUACUAAUACUACUGGAUAGUGGACGUUACUCGCAGAAUAAGCACCGGCUAACUCUGUGCCAGCCGCCGCCGUAAUAC
rnacentral:rRNA from 1 species